rnacentral:rRNA from 1 species
GACCUCGAAUCAGGUAGGAAUACCCGCUGAACUUAAGCAUAUCAAUAAGCCGGGAGG